rnacentral:rRNA from 1 species
GUAGGUGGCAAGCGUUGUCCGGAAUUAUUGGGGCGUAAAGCGCGCGCAGGCGGUUCUUUAAGUCUGAUGUGAAAGCCCACGGGCUCAACCGUGGAGGGUCAUUGGAAACUGGAGAACUUGAGUACAGAAGAGGAAAGCGGAAUUCCACGUGUAGCGGUGAAAUGCGUAGAGAUGUGGAGGAACACCAGUGGCGAAGGCGGCUUUCUGGUCUGUAACUGACGCUGAGGCGCGAAAGCGUGGGGAGCAAACAGGAUUAGAUACCCUGGUAGUCCACGCCGCAAACGAUGAGUGCUAAGUGUUAGGGGGUUUCCGCCCCUUAGUGCUGCAGCUAACGCAUUAAGCACUCCGCCUGGGGAGUACGGCCGCAAAGGCUG